rnacentral:rRNA from 1 species
CGCUGACGGCAGGCCUAACACAUGCAAGUCGAGCGGGGGUAGCAAUACCCUAGCGGCGAACGGGUGAGGAAUGCUUGGGAAUCUGCCUCGUAGUGGGGGAUAACGUUCCGAAAGGAACGCUAAUACCGCAUACGUCCUACGGGAGAAAGGGGGGGAUCUUCGGACCUCUCGCUAUGAGAUGAGCCCAAGCGGGAUUAGCUAGUUGGUGGGGUAAUGGCCCACCAAGGCGACGAUCCCUAGCUGGUCUGAGAGGAUGAUCAGCCACACUGGAACUGAGACACGGUCCAGACUCCUACGGGAGGCAGCAGUGGGGAAUAUUGGACAAUGGGCGAAAGCCUGAUCCAGCCAUGCCGCGUGUGUGAAGAAGGCCUUCGGGUUGUAAAGCACUUUAAGCGAGGAGGAAGGUUCGUUACUUAAUACGUAACGGAAUUGACGUUACUUGCAGAAUAAGCACCGGCUAACUCUGUGCCAGCAGCCGCGGUAAUACAGAGGGUGCAAGCGUUAAUCGGAAUUACUGGGCGUAAAGCGCGCGUAGGCGGUUGUGUAAGUUGGAGGUGAAAUCCCCGGGC